UACGUAGGGGGCUAGCGUUGUCCGGAAUUACUGGGCGUAAAGGGCUCGUAGGCGGCCAACUAAGUCAGACGUGAAAUCCCCCGGCUUAACCUGGGAACUGCGUCUGAUACUGGGAGGCUUGAGUAUGGGAGAGGGAUGUAGAAUUCCAGGUGUAGCGGUGAAAUGCGUAGAUAUCUGGAGGAAUACCGGUGGCGAAGGCGGCAUCCUGGACCAUUACUGACGGUGAGGCGCGAAAGCUAGGGGAGCAAACGGG
rnacentral:rRNA from 1 species